rnacentral:rRNA from 1 species
UACGUAGGGGCUAGCGUUAUCCGGAAUUACUGGGCGUAAAGAGCGCGCAGGUGGUUGAUUAAGUCUGAUGUGAAAGCCCACGGCUUAACCGUGGAGGGUCAUUGGAAACUGGUCGACUUGAGUGCAGAAGAGGGAAGUGGAAUUCCAUGUGUAGCGGUGAAAUGCGUAGAGAUAUGGAGGAACACCAGUGGCGAAGGCGGCUCCCUGGUCUGUAACUGACACUGAGGCGCGAAAGCGUGGGGAGCAAACAGGAUUAGAUACCCU